GCUUGCUCCCUGUGUAAACCCUAUACCAGCCCCUAGAAAACUCCGGCAGUGCGCACGGAAACCCUGAGCAGACAAUCCAGUGUGGAAAGAGUACUCUGGAGAUAGCAAGUUUAAGAAGCGUGAUUUUAAAGUAGGGAUAGUGAAGCAUUUUCAGCUUGAGAGCCGCAUUCCCUUCUGAGGGCCACAUGCCAGCAAUGGGUGGAGCAAGAGGCAUAAGUGGGCACAGCAAUUGUACAGUACAGUAGGCUAGUUGCUACGCAGACUUGCACAUCCCUCUCUUGUCUUCCAUCCAGGGAAGAAAGAAACAUCAUCAGAGUUCAAGGACACCUUGCAGCGAGGCAAAGAAGCGUAAGGAGGGUGCAAAAGGAUGCAGUUUGGGGAGGGUGGACUAGGCAGGGUAUGGCCUAGAGAGGGUCCCAAGGGCCAAACAGAGAGGCCUUGAGGGCCGGGUUUUCUUCCAAGGCCUGAAAUUCUCCAUUCUGGUUUUAUAGAAUAUAAUUUUCUUUUUCAGAUGUUUUCGUCUUUCUUUUUUUUGUUAACACAGAACACCAAGAGAGUGCUCAUGUCCCUGGUUCAGGAAGAUGUUGCCUUGGAAUUCUAAGGAAGCUUUUUCUCCAGCAGUGAAGCAGCUGAGGCUGAGAGCUAAUACAGAACCAGCGCAGGGGCAAGCAAGAGGCAUGAUCGGAGCUCAAGGACACAUUCCAGCCAGUAGGAACUUUGAGGACAGCUCCCAAUGGGUGUGUUGAAGCCUGGGGAUGUAAUAGUGUUUCUCUGACAUUGUUCUUGAAGGAAAUGCACAAGGGAAGGGCAAGCCAAGUGCCCUGCAACUGUGCCCUCUCUGGCCAGGACUGCCUGCUCCAACUGACGGUGUCUCUCCAGAGUUUCUCCCUCUCUCAAAACGCUAGACCUCGUGGGCAUCCAGUGAGCCUGAAUGUUGGAAGGUUGAGGACAGACCAAAGGGAGUUCAUACAGCUCAUAGUUGGACUAUGGGAAUUUGCUCCCACAAGAUGUGGUCCCAGCUUGGGUGGCUUUGAAAAGUGAUUAGACAAAUUCAUGAGGGCUAAGGCUAUUGAUGGCUAUAGUGCCUCCUGUACUGGAAGCAACAUACCUCCGAAUACCAGUUGGGGGGGGGGAUUGUGGGAUAGAGCCAUUGUCCUUGUGUUCUGCUUGUGGCCUUCCACAGGCAUCUGCUGGGAUAUUGUGAGGAUCAGGAUGCUUUACUAGAUGGACCUUUGGUCUGGUGCAGCAGGGCUCUCCUUACUGUGUUAUGUAGGGGAUGCCAGUGUGGUAUCUGCAGGCACCUGUGUGCCCACCAAGUACCUCCUGUGAUACCCACAAAAGGUCUCUGUGUAUAUUCCUUCAAAAAUCCACAAUGCACAAGAGGGUGUUUGCUCUUCCUCCUCAUCUGCUGUUUGCACUGACUCAGCCUCUCCUACAUUGAACAUGCCCACAUAUCAUUGGAUGCCAGGAUUGGACACCCUCCCGUCCAUUCUGAACUGAGGAAAGGUGCAAAGCUUCCAGCACUUGCUUAAAACGUUUUUGUUUAGGCAAGCCUAUCCAGUCACAUGGAUGCUGAUGUGUUCUAAUCGUUUUAGUCUGUUGCUGUUUAAUUGUUCUUAAAAUGUUUUAAACUGCUUGUUUUUAACUGCUUUAUGGAUCAGUUUAAUGUUUUUUAUAAACUGCUUGGAGGGGUUUUUUUUACAAUCGAGUGGUAUAUAAAUUUUGUGAAAUAAAAAAAGAGCUUCUCUGUGUGCACGAGCACAGCGGUGCCUUUUUUCUCAUUAAUGGAGAGUAUGCCCACACAUUUUUGUGGUCCUGCCCCUUUUCUGCUCUUUUAGAUGUGGCAGCCAUUUUGUGUUCUUUUUCAAAUUUUAUUAUGCAGUCAUAGACCCACAAUACAAGUGAUUAAGCAGUCAGUUAAACAAACAAGAUUAAAACCAAAUACAGUAUUAAUGAUAAUAAUUUAGCAAGAGGCCAGGGUAGUACAGAUUGGCCUUUUCUGUAAAGUCUGAGCUACAUAGAGAAACUUUGCAACUAAUUCAAUCUUUAUCCUUGUCAGACAGAAGAUAUUGCACGAGCCACUCAAUAGAUCUACCGGGAAAGGCUUUGGUGAUUGGAAAAAUAAGUCUAGAUCGAGCAUCCCUGUAUACUUCACAGGAAAGUAGGACGUGUCCAACUGUUCAUUUUGUGUUCUGUUACACUCAUGUAACAGCUAUUUUGUGACUGGUGCCCUCAAGCACUUUCUCAAAAUUUCAAAUGUGCCCACUGGCUCGAAAAGGUUUAUAAGAAAGAGAUGU